rnacentral:rRNA from 1 species
UACGUAGGGGGCAAGCGUUGUCCGGAUUUAUUGGGCGUAAAGAGCGUGUAGGCGGCCUGACAGGUCUGCUGUGAAAACUCGAGGCUCAACCUCGAGAUGUCGGCGGAAACCGUCUGGCUAGAGUCCGGAGGAGGAGAGUGGAAUUCCUGGUGUAGCGGUGAAAUGCGCAGAUAUCAGGAGGAACACCGGUGGCGAAGGCGGAUCUCUGGGCCUUACCUGACGCUCAGGUGCGAAAGCUAGGGGAGCGAACAGG